UACGGAGGGUGCAAGCGUUGUUCGGAUUUAUUGGGCGUAAAGCGCGUGUAGGCGGUUUCUUAAGUCUGAUGUGAAAGCCCUGGGCUCAACCCAGGAAGUGCAUUGGAUACUGGGAAACUUGAAUACGGGAGAGGGUAGUGGAAUUCCUAGUGUAGGAGUGAAAUCCGUAGAUAUUAAGAGGAACACCGGUGGCGAAGGCGGCUACCUGGACCGAUAUUGACGCUGAGACGCGAAAGCGUGGGGAGCAAACAGG
rnacentral:rRNA from 1 species